CGGAGGGUGCGAGCGUUGUCCGGAAUCAUUGGGCGUAAAGGGCGCGUAGGUGGCCCGGUCAGUCUUUGGUGAAAGCGCGGGGCUCAACCCUGCGUCGGCCAGGGAUGCUGCCGCGGCUCGAGCACUGUAGAGGCAGGCGGAAUUCCGGGUGUAGCGGUGGAAUGCGUAGAGAUCCGGAAGAACACCGGUGGCGAAGGCGGCCUGCUGGGCAGUAUAGCUGACACUGAGGCGCGACAGCGUGGGGAGCAAACAGGAUUAGAUACCCUGGUAGUCCACGCCGUAAACGAUGGGCACUAGGCGCUUGGGGGAGCGACCCCCCGAGGGCCGGCGCUAACGCAUUAAGUGCCCCGCCUGGGGAGUACGGCCGCAAGGCUG
rnacentral:rRNA from 1 species